UGACCAUAUUAGGUUGAAACACGAGUUCUCAUAUGAUCACCAAAGUUAAACAAUGGUGAGGUUGGCCAGUACCUGUAUAGGUGACUGCUUGAGAAUACCUGGUGCUGU